GCCCCUGUCGUCUAAUCCGGUUAAGGACACGAGGUUCUCGACCUCGUAAUCUGGGUUCAAAUCCCAGUGGGGGCA
rnacentral:tRNA from 1 species